UACGUAGGCAGCAAGCGUUGUUCGGAGUUACUGGGCGUAAAGGGUGUGUAGGCGGUUGGGUAAGUGGGGUGUGAAAUCUCCCGGCUUAACUGGGAGGGUGCGCUACAAACUGUCUGACUAGAGUGUGGGAUGGGAAAGUGGAAUUCCUGGUGUAGCGGUGAAAUGCGUAGAUAUCAGGAGGAACACCGGUGGUGUAGACGGCUUUCUGGACCAUAACUGACGCUGAAACACGAAAGCGUGGGUAGCAAACAGG
rnacentral:rRNA from 1 species